rnacentral:rRNA from 1 species
AUUGAACGCUGGCGGCAUGCCUUACACAUGCAAGUCGAACGGCAGCACGGGUGCUUGCACCUGGUGGCGAGUGGCGAACGGGUGAGUAAUAUAUCGGAACGUACCUUAUUGUGGGGGAUAACGCAGCGAAAGCUGUGCUAAUACCGCAUAAUCCCUAAGGGGGAAAGCGGGGGACCGUAAGGCCUCGCGCAAUUAGAGCGGCCGAUACCUGAUUAGCUAGUUGGUGAGGUAAAGGCUCACCAAGGCAACGAUCAGUAGCUGGUCUGAGAGGACGAUCAGCCACACUGGGACUGAGACACGGCCCAGGCUCCUACGGGAGGCGGAAGUGGGGAAUUUUGGACAAUGGGGGCAACCCUGAUCCGGCAAUGCCGCGGGAGUGAAGAAGGCCUUCGGGUUGUAAAGCUCUUUUGUCAGGGAAGAAACAGCAGCUCUAACACAGUUUGCGAAUGACGGUACCUGAAGAAUAAGCACCGGCUAACUACGUGCCAGCCGCCGCAGUAA